ACAUACGCGUAGAGUUUGAUCAUGGCUCAGGAUUAACGCUGGCGGAGUGCCUAACACAUGCAAGUCGAGCGGCAGCGGGAGUAGUUUACUACUUGCCGGCGAGCGGCGGACGGCUGAGUAACGCGUGGGAAUGUGCCCCAAAGUGAGGAAUAACUGCCCGAAAGGGUAGCUAAUGCCGCAUAUGAUCUUCGGAUUAGAGGAUUUAUCCGCUUUGGGAGCAGCCCGCGUCAGAUUAGGUAGUUGGUGAGGUAAAGGCUCACCAAGCCGACGAUCUGUAGCUGGUCUGAGAGGAUGACCAGCCAGACUGGAACUGAGACACGGUCCAGACUCCUACGGGAGGCAGCAGUGAGGAAUCUUCCACAAUGGACGAAAGUCUGAUGGAGCAACUCCGCGUGCAGGAUGAAGGCCUUCGGGUCGUAAACUGCUUUUAUGAAGUGAAGAAUAUGACGGUAACUCAUGAAUAAGGGUCGGCUAACUACGUGCCAGCAGCCGCGGUAAU
rnacentral:rRNA from 1 species